GGUGUUAUCGUGUGAUAGCCCGCGGUGAUAGGCGUUCUUUCGUGUAGCUGUGAAUAUCAUUUUGAACUGGUUAGCGGGUUGCUGCACUGUACGUAGUACCGGUAGCAAUACAUGCGUGUUCCUGCACUGUCACUGAAUUUCCGCGCAGUAUACGCGAACCGAGGAGGCCCUGUGUAGUGUUUGCCAGCAAUAGUGCUCAGAAAACUUUUUUAUUGUUCCAUCCAAGCAGAUGCCCGUAAGCAUGGCAUGUGAUGAGAAGCUGUCCGAGGCGUUUGAAAGAGCGCUGAGACUCUCUCCGAAAGUGAAGGACGCUCCAAAUUUUGUCACACCUCAGAAGCGUCCGUUGCUGGGUCGUCAUUGCUGGUCAUCUGCUCGGCGGCGCCCCUCCUUUCUGAAUAGCUCCAGCAGCGAAGAUGAAUUGAAAACAUCUGUGGAAAGGAAGAAGGAGAGGAAGCCGGCUGUUCCCUCGCGUGUCAUGAUGCCAUGCACCACAGCAAAGGCACUACUGGACGAGGACGCCUGGUUUCUCGAAUCUCUGUCUGAUAGCACACCGCUGGACAAGUGUCAUCCCGACACACUCAAAUUUAGGCAGCGAUUCAAGGACUCUCGGGAGGACCUCUCAAAUGCCCUUUUUUUACUUUUUAACAGGGAGAUCUUUGCUCACAAGCUUCCUCCGGGCGAAAUUUCCUGGAACAGCCGGUUGACGUCAACAGCGGGCCGAUGUUUCAAUUUGGCUGAUUACAACUACCGUGUGGAGCUCUCGGCAAAGAUUCUCCACAAUGCGGAAUACACAAGAGACACUCUACUGCAUGAACUAUGCCAUGCGGCAGUUUGGUGCGUGCACAAUUACAAGCGAGGUGGCCAUGGUGAACUGUGGAAGUUCUGGGUGGAUCGUGCUGCCCGAAGAUUCCCCAAGCUUCCCCCUGGUCAAAGAUGUCACAACUACAAGCAGUCACGAUCAAGGAAACUUACCUUCAAUUGAUGUCCACGCUGCCUGUAAUCCUUUUUUUUUUUUCUCAUUAAGCAGCACUGGACACCGGACAGCAAGAUAAUCAUGUAUAUACGCUGCCAACGGCAACACAGGCCAUGUACAAUCUUGAGUGUGUACAACUUUUAAGUAUGACCAAUCAAUUGACAAGGCAGCUGGUUGCCACACCCUAAUUUACUUGAAAUUAAACUUUUGGAGGUCACCCUCGAAGGACACGUGAAAAAGCUACGCUGGUUCUCAACAUUCCGAGAUGGAAUUGCUUUGAAAGCGGCAACAGAAGAGUUCUCAAUUAAUUCUCUGGGCAAACGAUUCCAAUCACGGAUGGUACGGGAGGAGAAAGAAUGCAUGUAAGUGUUAGUUCUGCAAGAAAUUUCGCUAACUUUUUUUGAAUGGAAAGAAUGAGUGGGACGCUGCAUAAGAGGUUUCAAGUAUGUGCUUUUGUUGAUUCCAAGGUUAUCAUUGUUCAUAGGGAUUCUAGAUUUGCAGAAAUUAAUAGAGCAGUUGGCGAUGUUUUGCUUUUGGACGAAUUAAACAUGAAUCUAGCUGCCUUUUGCUGAAUAUUUUCUAGUUUUCUUAUAUUCGUAUUUGUGUGCGGAUCCCAUACUGCUGCAACGUAUUCGAGUGUUGGCCCUAUAUACGUUUUAUCGGCCAAAAGAUUUACAUCGCUUAAAGCUUUGGGAAGUGUUCACCGUAAGUAGCCUAGUUGUCUCAUGGCUUUCUUGUGUAUGUAGGUGACGUGAUCAUUUCAUCGAAGAUCAGAUAUAAUAAUUACCCCUAGGUAUUUGUAGCUUGAAACUACAGACAGAUUGUUACCGCUGAUACUAUACGUGAAAGUGAGUGGAUUCAUCUUACGCGUAAUUGUCAUUGCUACCGUUUUGCUGUGGUUUAUUUGCAUAUGCCACGAAGUACACCAAUUUGUAAUCCGGGCUAAAGAUUUGUUACGAGAAACCUGGUUAUCAGAACUGUAGAUUUCGUUAUAUAGGAUGCAAUCGUCUGCAAAUAAGCGAAUUUUUAGCGGAAUGUCUUGAGCAAUGUCGUUUAUGAAGAUAAAAAAGUAUAACGGCCCAAGGACAGAACCUUG
rnacentral:misc_RNA from 1 species